rnacentral:rRNA from 1 species
AGACUGCAGGCUGCAACUCGCCUGCACGAAGUCGGAAUUGCUAGUAAUCGUAGGUCCGCAUACUACGGUGAAUACGUUCCCGGGCCUUGUACACACCGCCCGUCAAACCAUGAGAGUUGGCAACACCCGAAGUCGGUAGUCUAACCGCAAGGAGGACGCCGCCGAAGGUGGGGUUGAUGAUUAGGGUUAAGUCGUAACAAGGUACC